rnacentral:rRNA from 1 species
CCCUACGGGGCGCAGCAGUGAGGAAUAUUGGUCAAUGGGCGCGAGCCUGAACCAGCCAAGUAGCGUGAAGGAUGACUGCCCUACGGGUUGUAAACUUCUUUUAUAAAGGAAUAAAGUGAGGUACGUGUGCUUUUUUGCAUGUACUUUAUGAAUAAGGAUCGGCUAAUUCCGUGCCAGCAGCCGCGGUAAUACGGAGGAUCCGAGCGUUAUCCGGAUUUAUUGGGUUUAAAGGGAGCGUAGAUGGGUUGUUAAGCCAGUUGUGAAAGGUUGAGGCUCAACCGUAAAAUUGCA